ACAUAAUUACGUAAUUACGUAAUUGGUACGCUGCACGUACCAAUAAUAUGUUAAUAGAAAAAUGGAGGGUAUCGAGAUGGCCAUUUGGAACCCAUACCACGUUCGUGUCAAAUAAGAUAUUAAUGGGUUCAUGAGAUGUCCAAACAAAAACGAAACGUGCUACAGCAUCGAUGUACAACGCAUUGGACUUACGUAAAACGAAGGUAACGAGCAUCGUUCCACCAGUGGCCAAGGCGCAGGCGGUUUUAAGCACCAGGAAUAAUUCGUACCACGGUGCGAAUGCGCUCGCAAACCCUGUGAUCGACUGCAACGCGAUCGCGAUCAUCAAUGGUUUCUUUCGACCAAUUCUAUGCAAAACGAAAUGAGAGAAAAAGAGUGAUAUGGUGCUGUUUCCUACGUCUACUUCGCAUUUCAUAAACAUGGAUUCAUUUGUGACUGAUAACGGCGCGACGCACGUAAAAUUAGUGGGCGGUGCGAGGAAUAUGAUGGAGAGCUGAUGCCAGGCUACAGGAAAUUUGACAAGAGAAAUC